GUAGCUGGCUCCUCGGAGCAUGUGCACGCCCGCCAUUUUUAUCUUUCCACCUGUGCACCGACUGUAGGUCUGGAUACCUCUCGCCCUUCACGGGGCGGAUGCGAGGACUGCUCGUAAGGGCUCUCCUCGAAUUUCCAGGCUCUACGUCUUUUUACACACCCCAAUAGUAUGAUGUAGAAUGUAGUCAAUGGGCUUCUUAGCCUAUAAAACACUAUACAACUUUCAGCAACGGAUCUCUUGGCUCUCGCAUCGAUGAAGAACGCAGCGAAAUGCGAUAAGUAAUGUGAAUUGCAGAAUUCAGUGAAUCAUCGAAUCUUUGAACGCACCUUGCGCUCCUUGGUAUUCCGAGGAGCAUGCCUGUUUGAGUGUCAUUAAAUUCUCAACCUCACCAGUUUUCUGAACUGUUCUCCGAGGCUUGGAUGUGGGGGUUUGUGCAGGCUGCCUCACGGCGGUCUGCUCCCCUGAAAUGCAUUAGCGAGUUCAUACUGAACUUCCGUCUAUUGGUGUGAUAAUUAUCUACGCCGUGGACGAGGUUCAGACUCGCUUCUAACCGUCCGCGAGGACAAUACCUUGACAAUCCGCGAGUGAAGCGGGAAAAGCUCAAAUUUAAAAUCUGGCGGUCUUUGGCCGUCCGAGUUGUAAUCUAGAGAAGUGUUACCCGCGUCGGACCGUGUACAAGUCUCCUGGAAUGGAGCGUCAUAGAGGGUGAGAAUCCCGUCUUUGACACGGACUACCGAGGCUUUGUGGUGCGCUCUCAAAGAGUCGAGUUGUUUGGGAAUGCAGCUCAAAAUGGGUGGUAAAUUCCAUCUAAAGCUAAAUAUUGGCGAGAGACCGAUAGCGAACAAGUACCGUGAGGGAAAGAUGAAAAGAACUUUGGAAAGAGAGUUAAACAGUACGUGAAAUUGCUGAAAGGGAAACGCUUGAAGUCAGUCGCGUUGUCCGGGAAUCAGCCUUCCUUCUGGUUGGUGUACUUCCUGGUUGACGGGCCAGCAUCAGUUUUGACCGGUGGAAAAAGUUCGAGGGAAUGUGGCACCUCCGGGUGUGUUAUAGCCCUCGUUCGUAUACAUCGGUUGGGACUGAGGAACUCAGCACGCCGCAAGGCCGGGAUUCGUCCACGUUCGUGCUUAGGAUGCUGGCAUAAUGGCUUUAAUCGACCCGUCUUGAAACACGGACCAAGGAGUCUAACAUGCCUGCGAGUGUUUGGGUGGAAAACCCGAGCGCGUAAUGAAAGUGAAAGUUGAGAUCCCUGUCAU
rnacentral:sRNA from 1 species